GACGAACGCUGGCGGCGUGCUUAACACAUGCAAGUCGAACGGAACGGGUCUGCUUUUUUGUGGGGGUGGGGUGGCGAGCGGGUGAGUGACUCAUGCGUAACCUACCCUUGCCUUUCGUCUGACUUAACGAAAGAGGGGGUAAUAAAGGAGGGGAGUUCCUGCUGCCUGGUGUGGGUUGGAAAGUUUCGGCGGGUGGGGAUGGAGUCGCGGCUGAUGGGCUUGUAGGUGGGGUAGUGGCUUUCGAUGGCUGUGACGGGUGGCGGGCCCGAGGGGGUGGCCAGCCGCAUUGGGACUGAGAGAGGGCCCAGAGUGCGACGUGAUGCAGCAGUGGGGAAUGUUGCACAAUGGGCGGAAGCCUGAUGCAGCGACGCCGCGUGCGUGAUGACGUCCUUCGGGUGUGAAACCGCUUUCGCCUGUUACGGAGCGUUUGUGACGGUAAUGGUUAAAGAAGCACCGGCUAACUACGUG
rnacentral:rRNA from 1 species